GGGAAAGAAGCGUCGCAAAGUAGAGAAACGAAGCAAGAGGGGCCGAGGAGGAAGCAAAUGUUCACAAAAAGAACCCUCUCGAGGUGAAUGAGUUGUAACAGAGACGAUGCCAAAGCUUUGCACAGACAGCAAGGAAAUGAAGCUUUGCAUCAGAAGUGGAAGGAGGUUCCAACUACUAGCAGCAAUAUCAGGACACACAAAGACUCAGUAAAGGACGGGACCUCCUUGGAAGAACCGUCAUUGUCUGAUAAUAUUAAUAUUGUAAGUACAGAACUCUUUCACCUUUUAAUGAAGCAGUUUGCUAUGCUUUGCUCUGCCAGCCAGUUAGAAUGAGGAAAAUUAUUUCAAACAUUUCACCUUGAUAGCAUUGGCAUGGUCCUGUUUUUCAGGACAGAUAAAUUAAUUCAAGUAAAGAAGCUGAAUUUGAGCUCAAGUACAGACUCUUCCAUUCACAACCCACCUGAGACUUACUGAUUGAUUUAGUAACAGGAUGCAACCAAAUUAGUAUAUGUAUGUACACAUAUAAAGCACAAUUUCAACCUAGAUGUUUUGGGGGUGAAGUCAGUUCACAAGUAUGACAUGUAAAAAUUAAAAUAUUGAAAGUAAGUCACUUUAAACUUACUGUUAUUUUCUAAAUAAUCGAAUGCUGCUUGUCUGAGGACAGGAGCAGCUUUUUAGUGAAAAUUCCCCCGGCUACAAUUCUCUCUGUAAAUUCACUGCAGCUUAUCUCUGAGCAGACAGGUAUAGAUUACAGUGAAUGUGAAUUCAUAAUCAAACAUUUUAAAAACAACAGUAUAUUAACCCAGAAAAGUAGCUGUUGGAAAGAGUAUCUUUAGAAUGAUUUUCUCUAAAACUUAUGUUUCAAGUUUUGUUUGCUCUGGAUAACCUCGUACCUGUAGCAGGGAAAGUUUGCUCUUAAAUUCUGAGAGCAAUCUGGAAUGAUGAUCCUUAUCUCUCCCCCAAGCCUUGGAAAAAUAGAUUUGAAUGCAGGUUGAUUCACUUACUAAAAAUAUUCACUUGAAGACACACAAUUCCAUGUACUAAUUUCCAGUGUUGGGUUUCCUUUCAGGACAGUGAAGGGUAAGGGCUCCAGGCAGUCUUGCUGUAAUAGUAAAUUCAGAAUUGUGAAAAAGAGAACUUCUUAAAAUAUUACUGAUCUAUCAUCAGUCCUUUCCCAAAGCUUUCUUCUCAGGGUUGGUCCUAUAUACAGUAUGUUACUAUUUCA
rnacentral:lncRNA from 1 species